UACGGGGGGGUGCGAGCGUUUGUCCGGAAUCACUGGGCGUAAAGGGCGCGUAGGUGGUCUGUCGCGUCGAAUGUGAAAACCCGGGGCUCAACCCCGGGCCUGCAUUCGAUACGGGCAGACUAGAGUUCGGUAGGGGAGUCUGGAAUUCCUGGUGUAGCGGUGAAAUGCGCAGAUAUCAGGAGGAACACCGGUGGCGAAGGCGGGACUCUGGGCCGAUACUGACGCUGAGGAGCGAAAGCGUGGGGAGCAAACAGG
rnacentral:rRNA from 1 species